rnacentral:misc_RNA from 1 species
CGUAAUUAUAGGUUAAGUACCUCAUGAUGUCAUGAUUUUGUAAAUAAAUAUAAAAGCCCAACUAAAUUCCAAUUUUUUGAUAACUACCACCUGCGAAAUAUGUGGUCGUUUUUCUCCAGAGAUCCAUCAAAAGAUUUUAAUUUCGAAAUCGGUGAAGUUGUACCGGGUUUCGAGGGUAAAAGCGUUUGGUCCUUGCACAAAGGAAAGAAAAAGGGCUCAAAUGAAGAGGUUUCUGUGUUUGUAUAUGACCAGAAGAGCGGAUCAGAUUCUCACUUAGAUAUUGCCAAAGCAGCCAUCAAACGGUUAAAGACUCUCCGGCACCCAAGUGUGCUAACUUACUUGGACAGUUUAGAGACUGAAAAGGUUUUGUAUUUGGUUACCGAACAUGUUGAACCUUUGGCAGUACAUUUGGAGAAACUGCCUUUGGAGGAUCCUCAAAAGGAUUUGUAUGUAGCAUGGGGAAUAUUUCAGAUUACAAGAGCCCUUUCGUUUCUUAAUAACGACGGCGCUCUACGUCACAAUAACGUCAACAUUUGGUCAGUAUUCGUGAACAAUUCAGGAGAAUGGAAACUAGGAGGUGUCGAAUAUGUGCUCAGUGCCCAAGAGAGCAAUAUUUCCAUAUACAAAGCUACGCCUGCUUUAGAAAUUUAUGAUCCACCAGAAAAAAAUGAUCCAAGUAAACAACGGCUGAUAACAAAAUGUUCUUCGGAUAUGUGGGGCUUAGGUUGCCUGAUUUGGGAAGUAUUUCAUGGGCCUCUCAAUCAGCAAAGCUUGUUAAGGAAUUAUGAAAAGUUGCCAAGACAAUUAACAAAUCUAUAUUCCGAGCUGAUUAAUAGUAAUCCACAAACCAGGCCAAAUCCAGCAGAUAUUAUUACAAGGUGUCGUAAGGUGGCAGGUUAUUUUAAAAAUGACCUCGUGGACACUCUGUUAUUUUUGGAAGAGAUCCAGAUCAAGGAUAAAAAUGAAAAAAAUCGAUUUUUCUCAAACAUCACGCCUCAUUUAGACAAUUUCCCGGAUAACAUAUGCAAACACAAAAUCUUGCCUCAACUAAUUACCGCUUUUGAAUAUGGAGAUGCGGGGUCUGCUGUGCUGGCUCCAAUGUUUAAGCUCGGAAGGCUCUUAGAUGAAUCAGAAUACCAAAAAAAAAUUGUGCCAUGCGUAGUGAAGUUGUUCGGCAGUAACGAUAGAGCAACAAGAUCGCGCCUCUUGCAACAACUGGAGCAUUUUAUUAGUCAUCUUCAAGCCAGCACAGUUAAUGAUCAGAUUUUUCCCCAGAUUGCUCAUGGGUUCAUGGAUACCAACCCAACUAUUCGUGAACAGACUGUUAAAUCUGUGAUACAUUUAGCCCCUAAGUUAAGUUACAACAAUCUGAAUGUGGAAGUUUUGCGACAUUUUGCCCGUUUGCAAGCCAAAGAUGACCAGGGCGGUAUUCGGACUAAUACUACAGUCUGCUUGGGAAAGAUUGCGCACCAUUUGCACCCACAAAUUAGACAAAAAGUUUUGGUUUCUGCUUUUAUUCGGGCUAUGCGAGAUCCGUUUCCGCCUGCGAGAAAUGCCGGUGUCCUGGCGUUAGCUGCUACCCAACAGUACUACCUUCUAGCUGAAGUUUCUCAAAGAAUUCUACCGGCUUUAUGUCAGUUAACGUUAGAUCCAGAAAAAUCAGUGAGAGAUUCAGCUUUUAGGACUAUCAAAGGAUUUUUAGGAAAAUUGGAAAAAGUAUCUGAAGAUCCCAGUUUAAGGGAGAGUAUGGAGGCUGACGUAAAUACUGCUACGCCCAGUUUAAGUAACGCAGCGGCGACAUGGGCGGGAUGGGCUGUGACAGCCGUAACAGCGAAAUUCUACCGAAGUCAAUCAGACACCGUUAAAUCGAUGAAUACGUUUGCUAAUAAAAUGCUUAAUAAACCAGGAUCCUUAGAACAACCUUCAAGCAGUAGCAUAUCGACGACCACCUCUAGUGUGACUUCGAUGACCUCAUUGGAACAUGAGGAGGGAAGCAGAGGAAACGAGUCCGUCUCUGAUUAUGACUAUGAUCAUUGGGGGGAUAAUGAUAACUGGGGUGAUAUGGAGACCGGUGGGCAAAUGGCAAGUAGCAGCGGUAGUGGUGGCAUCACGGGAACCCAGAGCGAUCCUACUAGCCCACCCUCUGGUUCCGCCGGAGUAAAAGUCAUUGACGGAUGGGAUAAUGAGGAGUGGGGCAGUAUAGAUAAGGAACCGGAAGCAGAAACUGACAUGACAUCACCUUCAGAUGCCUGGAGCCCUACAGAGACCACUCCGAUAAAGAAGAUGGAUAAUGGAAAGGGAAUGGUUAAUAGAAAACCCCAGACGGCUUGGGAAGACACCGAAUUUGAGCCAAUCGACGAAAAUUCUAGUAUAGGAAAUCAAAAACUGGAAGAAGCCAGAAAAAAACGUGAGGAAAAAAAGCUAAUGCGACAAAAAGAGCUGGAGGCACGACGAGCUAAUCGUACCGCCACGGGAGGCCCAAUGAAACUAGGUGCAAAAAAAGUCUAAAAUAAAAUUAAGCAAAAUUUUUAUUGGUGAUUGCCUUAAUCAAAUUGAUAUUAUUCUGUCGGAACUAGGAUAAUAUUUAUCUUCAAAAAAAAAUAAGACUGAUAUUUGAUGAACGUCGAAACUAAUAUUGGAAAAGAAUCAAAUUCUUGUCUCAUUUUUAUUAUAUCGCAUUUUUAAAUUUAUUAUAUUUGUGUGUGUACAUUAUGCGGAACUGAUAGAACUAAAUGUCGAUACUGUGUAUGUAGUCUAUUACUUAUGUAAUUCAUCGUUAUAGUAAAUGUUUUUAAUAAAAUCUGCAUAAUAAUCGCUGUGGCUAACAGAUCGUUAACGGCUGAGUAUAUUUGACUGUUAAUCUAUUAUAUUACAUCAUAGAUGACGUCAUAAUACCUUAAUAGCAAUAUAUAUCCCGACUGAAUAAGUGUCGCCCGGCAAAAAAGUGAGGUUAUGCAAACGUUACGUAUACACCGGCAAUAUGUAACUAGGAUUGUAAUAAGGUAAUCCAGGAGGUACUAAUGAGGUUUAAUAAUUACUAUACUAUAGGAUAAUAAUUACGUACAAUUAAAUGGUUUCAAUAGACCUAAUUGAGUCCAAAUAAAUUAAGGGUUACAAAAGCAUGCCGGACAACACCAAUCCGUUCUGACUUUUUUUCCCAACACAUUUUAUGUGAUAUCUCCCGGGGCAACUGGAACAUAUUUUAAAAUUUUCUGAACAUGUAUCUAUUUCAGCACUACAUAAACAUAGAAAUUUAAUUCUUUCCUUUUUUGAAAAUAUAAUUUGAAGAGUCUGCUGGAAAGCCAGAUGAUUCUAGCAAUAUCUAAAACAAGUAUGUGCACGUGAAUAGUGUGCUCCGAGUUUAACAAGCUGUUUCUUAGGACUGAGUGGAGGAAGUCGAAUAACUUGUUAUUAAUACUUGCUGGUAAACAGUUUCUUAACCACUCUCCCUGCGGAGGUAUAAACUAUUAUUUUAAUUAAACCUAAUCAUAAAAUUUACUGCAAACACUAUCUGCAGUAUUGCGAAUUUUGUUUUCCUGUGUUGGGACUAUAUUUCUCAUAAUUGUGCAAAAUGGAAGAUCUAAGAAAUAAACAGUUAUUAGCUUUACUAACCCAAAAUAUGCAAGCUAUUAAAAAACUGGAGAAGGAGAGCAAAGCACUCGGAGAUAGAGUUCAGCAAUUAGAAUAUCAGACUCAUUCCAAAAAUCUACUGCUGUUUGGCAUUAAGGAAAUUAUUCAUGAAGAUCUUAUAAUAUUGAUGCUAUAUUAUCGGAAUUUGCACAAACUAUGCUACAUAUUAAUAUUAUAUCCCAAGACAUUUAUGAGGCUUUCCAAAUUAGGCAAAGAUCUGAAAAUAGAGUGAGACCGAUAUUAACUAAGUUUGUAACGAACUCGCUUGUUUCAUGUUAAGAGGGGCGUAUAAGCUAAAAAACACUGAAUAUGCAAUCUCAGAAGACCUACCUAAAGAGCUACUUGAUCUAAAGAAAAAGCUCUUAUUUUAUAAGAAGUCUGCCCAAAACCAAGGGUACUCCGCUAAAUUGAAAAAGGAUUGUCGAAGAAUUAAUAAUAAAACAUGGCGCCUAGAUUUGCAAAAGCUUGUUCCACUAAGCACUGAUCUACCACCAAUUGAAACUGCACUGCCUAGUGCCCCACCAGUUGCCAGUAAGACAAUCUUGGUAGCCAACCCAUUGGAACAACGUUCAUCGAAGGGAACAACGUCAGUUCCUGAAACGAAAACUACGAACACCAGAUACAACUUUCGCUCAAAAAACUAAAGCAACCCAACAUGUUCAAGAAUAGCACUCCAUCAUGCUAUUAUCAAAAUGUGCGCGGCUUAAAUUCCAAAAUCGACUAAUUCUUUUCUUCAAUAAGCGAUUCUGAAUAUGACAUUGUCGCGUUAACAGAAACCUUUUAUCCCGUUGAGUUUUUACCGCUCUCGGUGGGGAGGACAACAGUUCUGAAUUGUUCCCGGCUGAAUACGAGGUACGCCGAACAGAUUGAAGUUUUCAGGUCAAUUUAUCACGUGGAGGCGGAGUCCUGCUGGCUGUCAAAACCCAAUAGUGUGCUCAACAAUAGACACUAGUCUUAAUAGUUUUUCUUAUAUAGAUUUUGUUCUGUGUAAAUGUCUACUUUCUUAUAAACCAUUGUUUGUGAUUGUAUUAUAUAUACCCCCAAAAAUAACCGAUGACGAGUUUAAAAGAUUUUUUUAAAGGCUAUUACAAUUAGACAUAACUGGCGACUUUUUAAUAAUUGGCGAUUUUAAUGUGCCCAAUUAUGUAAGUAAUCAAUGCCAGCGGGAUAGAAAGAGCACCUCUGUUAAUUCAUUUUUGUCAUUUUUUAAGUUAAAGCAAUAUAAUAUUGUGCUAAAUCAGUCUAAUAGGCUGUUAAAUUUGGUAUGUUGUAAUGCUGAAUGUAGAGUCACCCAAGAUGAAUUGCCAAUUGUCGCUCAAGAUGCCGAUCACCCUGCCUUAUCAAUUGAUAUAAAUUUAUAUUUCUUUUAGGGAACAUGUUCAUCAAAAAUCAUAUAAUUUUAAAAAGGCGGAUUUUCCUCGUCUCUACGAUGAGAUACUAGGAACUGAUUAGCAAUUUCUCUGUGAUAUCGGUGAAAUAAACUUAGCUGUAGAAAGCUUUAACGAUCAAUUGCAAAAAAUAUUUGCUAAACAUGUUGCACUUCGCGUAAUACAGAAACACCAAUAUCCAUGCUGGUAUACCACAGAUAUCAUUAAAAAUGUAAAACACAAAGCUAGGUUGCAUAAAAACUUUUUUUUUUCAAUUAACUUUGCUGUUUGUAUUGUUUAUGUUUUUUUUUCUCUCUCUUUGAGAUUUAGGUAUAAGGGUAUUUAUUUUGUUUGGGGUCUAUAAUUUGUGGUUGCUUAUUUUUAUAUAUGAAGUUCAAGAUUGUGUGGAGAAUAUUUUAGUUUUAAUUCAUGUAUGUCUUUAUUAUAUCUUAAAAAUUCUUAAAAAGUUAUUGUAACCUUUGUCUCUGUAAAUGGUUUAUACUAUUGGGCUGUAUUGCUAAAAAUAAAUAAAUAAAUAAGUAUGACAUGGAUAAUAUACUUUAUUACAUAUAUUCGUAUACAUAUAUCGUUACAUAAACUCGUAAAGUACUUGACUAAUUAUAAAUUUAUAUUGGCAUUAAAAUUGUGCAGUUAAAUUCCAUUAAAUAAACAUCACCUUUAGUAUUUUUUUUAAUAUCGUCAAUAAUAGAUGUGAAUUCAUUAUCUAUAUUUAGUAACCUUAGAAUAAAUCGGUGUUUUUCAUUAAUGCCAAGUUUGGCAAAUGGCAUAGGUUUUUUAUUAUUUUUUUUCUUUUAUUUAAGCCAAUGGUGGUCAGAGCUUCACCUUUUACUCUACCUCUUUUUUUUUGGCAUUUUAAUAUUAUUGUAAUAGCCGGGUACUAAGGGCAAGUAAAACAAAGAAGAUUCCCCAUCUAAAACUGUUUAUUGAAUGAAUUGAAAAAUAUUUCCAUACAAAAGCAAUUGAACAGCGUCACAGUUACCUAAUUAGACACGAGCCGCGAUAUAGCUUAUUUUGCAAAUAGCUGCUAUACUAGGUCGACUAAUUAUUGCAACCAACUAUUAAUGUUUAUAAUAAAUAAAAUGUAACCUACUUUGCUUUUAAAGAAUUUGCCUAAUAUUAUAAAUAAUUCCUUUACAUCAUUCCCUUUUGGAGAAGGACCUUCACUAUGGCCACUUGUCAAGGUCAUUCUUUGGGAAAAUAUAACAUUAAACAUUUUUUAAAUGUUGAUUUACCUUUAUUACUUAACCUACCGAUUCUUACAGUUAAGCUUAACUUAAUAAAAAAAGACUUGAAAAACCUAUAAAAACCUUAACCCUGAACCUUAAAAUACCUAUAAGCGACUUUGCAAAGUCAGUAUAUAUGAUUAAAUUUCUUGCUUAAAAAUAUUCCCAUAAGUACAUAAACAAUAAAUUAUAAGUAAGUACAUGAAUAUAAUGUAACUACAAAAACAUCAAAUUAAUCUUAUUUAUAGAAAAUAUUUUCUCACGCGGUUUUUGUGUAAAGUAAUUAAUUUUCCUUUAUCGUCCUUUAUAGUGCAGUUUGGGCCUUCUGUGCCGAUAACUGAAAAAGGACCAUUGUACCACGAGUCAAAUUUAUGCCGACUUUCAUUUGUAACCGUAACUAAAUCACCUGGACUCAAAUUGGAUACUUUUGCGUUUAUGUCAAGUUGGGCUUUUCUGUCCAACUUUGCUCGUUUAAGAAACUCCCCUGCCAUUUUAUGUGCCAAUUAUAGCCUAUAACGAAAUUCUUGAUCGUAAGCAUCUAUAUUGUACAAUGGAUCAACUUGAGAGUUAUUCAAUGAGUCUUGAAAAUCAGCUUUUUUUCCAAAUACCAGCUCGAACGGGGUAAAAUCAUGAUAAGAACUUGGUGUCGUGUUGUAACAAAAUGCGUAGUAUUGAGUCCAUGUAGACCAGUCUGUUUUUGAAUCGUUAAUGUACAUCCUUAAAUAUUCAUUUAAAACGCGAUGAUUUCGUUCACAGCCUCCAAUUGUUUGGCUGUGAUAAGCUGUUGAGAUUUUAUGAUCUAUUUUUAGGAUUUUAGUUACAUUUUCAAAUACUUGGUUUUUAUAUUCGGUUCCCAUAUCUGUCCUAAUUUUUCGCAUAGGACCAUAAAUAAGAAUGAAAUUUUUAACAAUAGCUUUUGCAACAGUUGAAGCUUGUUUGUCUGAUAUUGGAAUAAUUAUUACGUAUUUUGUUACUUCGCAUUGUAUAGUUACCGCAUAUUCGAAACCGUCGUCAGAUUUGGGAAAUCUGCCGAUUGUAUCUAUACAGACAAUAUCAAAAGGCUUUUGGGGGGUUGGGGUAAUUACUAGUGGUUCAUCGAGUUUAAUUUUAAUUUUGUUUACUUGGCAUUUAUGACACUUUUUUAUAAAAUUGGCGACGUCGCGUGACAUAUUUUUCAAAGUAAAACUAGCCUUCAGCUUUUUUAAAAGCCGUUUUUGGCCACAAUGUCCGCCCAAUAUAGGGUUAGUAUGGUAAUCCUCAAUUAAUUUAAUUUUUUCAUUCUGAUCUGUAACUAAUUUCUUUACUUGCGAAAGAGCAAUACUAGUAUUUUUUUAAAUGUUAAGGCCUAUCUCUUUAAACUUAUUAAUUGCGCAUAAAUUAAAAAUUGAAUCUCCUAAGCUUAGUUUUAUUUUGUUUAUAUUUAAAUCUCCAGCUAUAUUAUCCAACUGAGACAACAUAUACUCUAAUGCAAUGUUGCCAUUUGAUAUUUUAAAAGUUUUUUGUGCAUAUAACUUGUUUUUGUACCUAAUAAGCAUCCUAAGAUGAUUAGGUCUAACUUGAAAAUCCAGUAAAGGUAAUUUAAUAAUGUCAACAUUACGCACUGCUUCGUACACAGAUGGUUUCAAUAUUGUUUGUUGCAACACUAGUUUAGUAAUUGAUUCGGUAGUUCUAGACAUAGAUCGAGUAAUAGCCAAUACUUGAGUAAUGCCUCUAUGAACAUCUUGAAGUGCAUGAAUACUAAUUCUAUUAAGAGCAUCGGCGCAAACGUUGCGUACCUUUUACGUAUUCAAUAUCGAAAUUAUAUUCUUGUAAGUCUAGUCUGAUUCUCGUAAGCUUAGAUGAAGGAUCUUUCAUGGAAAAUAAAUAUACCAGCGGUCUAUGAUCUGUACGCACUAAAAAUUUUGUACCGUAAAUAUAGCAAUGAAAAUGUUUAAUUGCCCAAUGAACUGCUGUUUAUUCUUGUAAAAUGGCUGGUUUAUUGGACUCUCCCUUGGUAAAUGAUCGGGAGGUGUACGCCACUGGCAGAUCGUUGCCAUUAAAAUUUUGUGAAAGAACAGCAGCGCAUGCAAUUUUUGAGGCAUCUGUUGUUAUUAUAAAUGGUUUCGUAAAGUCAGGGUAUUGCAAUAUUUUAGGUGAAAUUAAAGAAUUUUUUAAUUCAUCAAAGAUUUUUGAUAAUCUGGCGUCCAUGUAAAAUUAACAUUUUUUUCUAGUUAAUUUAUUAAGAUGAGCUGAUAUUUCUGUAAACCUAGGUAUAAAUCGGCGAUAGUAGUUUGUAAAGGCAACAAACCGCUUGACCUCGUCAGCAGUUUUGGGUACUGGAUACUUAUUUAUGAUGUCAUAUUUACUAUCGUCGGGUAAUAUACCUUUGUUUGUUAUUUUGUGACCUAGAUAUGUUACUUCGUUUUUAAAGAAUUUGCACUUUUUAGGAUUUAAUUUUAAGUUAAAUUUUCUGCAUGUUUCAAAAACUUUUAUACAGGUUUUGAAAAUGAUAAUUUUCAGAACAACGAUAAGAUCAUCUAUAUACAAAAAAGCUCUUUCAGGGGUAAUGCCGGCGAAUGCCAUUGACAUCAUCCGCUGAAAGCUGUUUGGGCUAACUGAUAGUCCAAAAGGUAAACGUGUAAAUCUGAAAGAUCUCGCAUCAACACUGUAAGACCCUGUUUAUUUUCUAAAGAAUUGAAAUAUUUUUCUUAGUCAUUAAGAUGAAAUUUAUCGGUCUGACCGAAAAGAGGUCCAGGAUAUUUACAAAACUAAAGCUAGCUCAGCGGUACCGUAAGUAACCGAAUACGGUUUACACUUAGCGUUUCCCCUCGGGAAUUAUUUUUAUGGGUUUCGAUAAAAGAGUGAGAUAAAUAUUUGGUUUAUAAAAUUCAUUUGAGUUUUGGUCACUAAAGAGUGAAGUUAUUUAAUAAAAACAAUAAAGGGUGUUGCGACGUGAAAUAAGCUGUGUUGGUUUGGUGUAGUGUUUUACUACAAGAAAGGGUCUACACGUCACCAUCUCUACUUUGGAGUCGCCCAAGCGCCCAGUUGUUUUACAAGGUGUUUAUUCUAUUUUUAUGAUUUAUUUUGAUUAUUUUGAACUAUUUUGAAUUUAUUUAACGUAUUAAAAAUUAUAAAAUUAUUUAAAUGAUGCUCACAGGUUUUAAUUAUUAUAACACUAAACUGAGUUACGUCUCGAGAGUUUUCACAUAAGGGUACCUGGUGAAAACCACUAAUAAGAUCAAUUACUGAAAACCACGGAGCUCUUCCUAGCUGAUCUAAUAUAUCAUCGAUACGAGGAAUUGGAAACUUGUCAGCAAUGAGUUUUUUAUUUAGCUGGCGAAAAUCAAUGACUUACCUCCAUACUUUUUGACCGUCAGGAGAUUUUUUGGGUACCAGUAAAACUGGGUUAUUAUAGUUGCAGAUUGAUGGCUCUAUAAUAUUUUGUUCCAAUAAUUUAUUGACUUGUUCGAUUAUUUCUUUUUUUUUGAGUAUGCGGAAUUCUAUAAUUUUUAAUAUACACGGGUGACCUAUCAGUCAGUCGGAGUUCUUGUUGAUAAAAGUUGUUAACUGUUAUUUUAUCUGACUUAAGGGCAAAAAUAUAUGAAAAUUCGUUGCCUAACUUAAUUAAUUUUUCUUUGACAAUCUCAGGUACAUCUUUAACAUUAAGCUGCGUCAUGAGAUUAGAAUUUCUAUCGUUAUAUUCUGUAUCGAUUUUAUAGAUAUUAAAUUUUGCUAGGCUUGUCGUUUUUAGCUGAAUAUUAUUAAGAGUAACGUUUUCGCUUGUAUUAAUAAUUUUAACAAUAGGGGAUUUUUUUGAGACCACAGUUCUCGCAACAAAGAUAUCAGAUCUUAGUUCCGCAUUUUCUACUGCUGAAUCUUCUUUAACAAAUUGUAGGCUUUUUAUCUUUCGUAGUACCUCACACUUAGCUGGAAUAACUAUAGAGUCUUCAGAAAUACUAUUUUGAAUUGGUAUAAUAAUAUUAUUAUUAUUCGGCCUAAUAGUCAUAGUCCAAUCCGAAUAGUUUAAAUUACAUUUGAAUAUGGCAAUAAAAUCUCGACCCAAUAUUGCAUCUGUCGGGAUCGGAAAUGAGGAAUCUACUACGUGAAAAGAAUGUUCGACUUCGUGUCCAUUAACAGAAAUGACCGUUCUUGCAAUACCUAAAGUUGUGAUAACUUCAUCUGUUACUCCUUUAAUUUGACUAGGGGUGUGUGAAUUUAUAAUUUUAUUUGGCUUAUUGUGUCAUUUUUAAAUAUAGAAAUAUCUGCACCAGUAUCGAUUAAAAAAGUAUUUUCCUGACCAGUCAUUUCUGUAAAAAAUACAACAAAGUUGGAGAAGGAACGGUUCAUGUUAAACACAUUAUUUACGAGAUAUCCCCCAACCUCCCGGUUUGGGGGUCCAUUUCGUUUCUCUGGUCAGGGUAUUGUGCUAACUGCCCUAACUGACCUGUGAAAUGAGUUGUUGGCUCUAUUGAUAUUAGUUUGUCUGUCAUUAUUAUACCUGUUACUUGUAUUAUUAUUAAAACCGCGAUUAUUUCUCCCACGUUCAUUAUUGUGCCUAUUGAAAUGUUGGCUGCGUCGAGUGUUAUUGUAAUAAUUAUUUCAAAUCUUGAGGUUUGAUUUCUGUCCUUAACCCGCUAUACUUCACUUCUACGUAAUAAUAAUAAUUAUUAUUAUUAUUGUUAUUAGCUCGCCUACCUCUAUUAUUAUAAAAAAAAUCUGUUAUUAUUUCUAAAAUUAUUUUGACCUGAAUUAACAUAAAAAACGUUUGAAGUUGAAGCCUGAGCAUUAUUAUUUAUAUUUAUAAAUUUAUUGACAACCUCCUGUACCUGCCUCUAUAGCUACCCUAGCCCUUUCGGAAUUAGCAUUCUGAGCUAAGGCUCUUACUGUUUCAUCAGUAGGAUACUUUGCUGCGACAUCGGCGUGGACACCCUCGCUAAUAUAUGCCGUUUUUAAUUUUUCAGCUAGAGAUUCAACAUCCGAAGCAUAACUUACAGUAUCUCUAGCAUGUUGCCUAAUAGCUUUAAUAGCUUUGUUGUUAACAGCUGUGAACUCUCUCCUUUAAUUUUUGAACGCAAAGUGUUUAUAAUUUCUGCAAGGGAUGCUUCGGUAGUUAUUAAACCUCGAGCCUUACUUGUAAGUCCUAUUUUAACGUAGGCUACUGCGUUUGCUUCAUGAUCGCCCGAAUUUUCAUUAAGUAAUGUAAGAGCAUCUAAAAUCUAAAAAUGAUUGUAGUCUGUCAUGUGAGCCAUCAAACUCCUGAGGUACUAUUUUCCCAGCUAAAUAAAAAAACUCUAAAUUUGACAAAGGCAUAUUUAUUUCCUCUUCGUCGCUCGAUGCUAUAUAAUACUCGUCCAAAAUUAACUUCUUAACUGGGCCAAGUUAAUCGUAGAAAUAGCAAACUCACGAGUUAUCUGCUUCCUAAUAUGCUUCUUGUUUAUUUGAAAGGACUUUAUGAUCACCAUCACGAUAAGCAAAAUAACUAUUAUGUACAAAAUUGCUUUAACGUCCUUUUUAAUGUUGUAUUCUUGCUCCUGCACUACAAAGUUUGAAUUGACUACCCCAUUUUCUGUCAAAUCUUGGUGAGUGGAUUUGCUUUGCCCCAUUUUGCUGAUUUGCUUAUCGCCAGUACAUUGCAAUAUAUUUGAAAAAAUGAGUAAAAAAAAAGGAACACUUUACUUUUAAUCGGGCCCAGAAUAAUCUUUUUCUUUAACAACUUAUUAUUUCUCCAUGAUUCGACUGGUCAAGGGUCGCCAUGUAAUAACCCAGCUAUUAAGGGCAAGUAAAACAAAGAAGAUUCCCCAUCUAAAACUGUGCCUAAUAUUAUAAAUAAUUCCUUUACAUUAUCCACUUCCUAAAAAAUUAAAAUAAUUUAUUAUUCUUACUAAUGUUAUUAACAGACAUAUCAGCGGUAGGGUCCGCUGAUCAAUUGACUUUCCUAAAAAAAAUUCUUAAAAUUAGAAAUACCUAUAGUUAAAAACAUACCUGGUGUCUAUUUGGACUAUCUAUUCUCUAUAUCUUCUUUCCAAUAUUUCUUUAUAGUAAAUAAUACUUGUUUUCGUCUUUCGUAUAACAUAUUUGACCGCUGAGCGGCUAAAUCUGCAGGACUAUUAGUUAUUGCUAAGAUAUUCCGACGUUUCUGGCCAUAUGAGACUAUAUGUUUUGGUUUUGCUAUGGUAAUAGGAACAUUUGGAGAAAUUUUUUCAGUUUAAUUUUCAUCAGACAUCGAUUCUGGGAAUAGCAUUGAUCUUUUGGAACUUACAAGAGGACCUAAUUUACUUACUUUUAUCUGGCAAGGGGGAAUCAAACAGAGGCUGAUUUAAUAGUUUUCUGACAGCAAAUAUAUGGCGACACGGCAAAAGUAUGGAAAUAAAAUAUGAACAGGAGCAGUGUCCGUAUUAAUCGUCCCUUCUGAAGGUUUUAUCAAAAAAGAAUUAUGACGUACUGAAUUCUGCUGUAUAUUUUUUACCUUUCUUGAAAAUUCUAGCUGUUUGAUUAAUGGUUGUCCGAGUUCUUAUGCAAAGGUUUCAACACUGUCUGUUUCAAAUUUAGUGACAGUAGUGUUUUAAUUUACUAUAUAUGAACUAAUGGACGCGCUACUGAUAAUAUAUUCCAAUCUAUUAUUAAUAUUAUUAUGAAAACUAUUUUUGCGGAAUUCUGUAUGCACUGACUACUGAUACUUAAUAUCAUGCCAAUUUUUCAUAUAAUAGAUUAAAGCUAUCCAGGGUUUUUGUAAAAUCUUCUUCAGAUUUGGCAUAAACUAAAUUUUGAAAAUACUCUAAACAUAGGUUUUUUUGACUUUCAGUUAUACCCAUUUUUUCACACUUAAUUUCACGACAGAAGCUUCUCAUGGUGUGGAAGAUACCAAACUUCAGGAAACAAUUCCUUAAUUACAUCUCGCUAUUUUAUUCCUGUGGCUUUCCUGUUAACUUAUUUAAAAGUGCUUAAAAACCAACUAAUAUUUUGUUUACGUUCCGAAACCAAAAACACAUGCUCACUAUCUGACUUUGAUACUGACCAUCUUCUACUAGCCUGAAAUAAAGUGGAAUACCUAUAUUUAAGAGUUUGUAUGUAACAACUGCUAUAAAUUCAGAAAAAUAUUCAAAAAUAUAUAAGGAGAUAUAAUCAUAUAAGGAGUUUAGGAAAACAGUACUUGGAAAUUUGAAUCACAAUCUUUUAGAACAGAAACUUCACACUCACACAAGACAAAAAGUAAAGUUUAUAAUUUAAAAGCAGGUAUAUUAUGUACGUUCUUACCAUAUUUAUCCUGUAUUAGCUUAAUGCAGUAGGCUAAAUUAUCCCUCUUCACAUAUUUAACAGAUGCCAAAAUAGACAGGUCUUAGUAAAAUCACUUUUCUAGUUUUUUUUAUCGUUUUUUCUUUAACAAGUUUUUUAUUAGUCCUAAUAACUCUUAUAUAAUAUUUUUCAUAUCCUCAGGCAUUUGUCUUUGAACUACGUAGUGGGCAUAAUAUUCCUGUAAUAAUUACUGUCAUGUUAAAUAUUUAUCAAUAUUAUUAUUAUUAUCAUGAUUAUUAUUAUUAUUACUAUUGUUAUAAUUUGUUUUAAUAAUAUUGUUAGUAGAAAAAAAACGAUUUUGAUAUAUAUUUUUUUUAAUUGUAUGAUUGUGUUCAUUGUUCAUUCUUCUAAACUUUUUCCGUCUUUGACAGCCCUAAAUCUGAUAAAAAAGGACACUCCUUUCUUCUUCUACAACGUAGAUCAUUAUAUCAUUAAUGGAUUCUAUUCAUUGCAGUAGCAAAAAAUAUUAUGGAGUAUAUAUCAUUAUAUAUACAUAGGUACUUACAAUGAUUCACUUAUGCCCUUGCUACAGGAAACAAAACCUCUGCCUCCGUGUACACAAGCAUAUUUUAGUUCAUAAUAAAUAAGUGUAUCACUUAAAAAAGGCUUAACUGAAUUAUCCUUGUAUCUUGUUUUUAUAAUAUGGUAUAAUUCCUUUUUGAAUACUCAUCAAUUGCUUUCUGAACCUCCUCAUAGCUUUCAAACUCUGAGAUCCUAUCUCAAUAUUAAUACCACAGAAUAAACUAGCUACGCGUAGCUAGUUCAAUCUGUGUUAAUACUGACAUCAGUCGACAUGGUAUGUUUUAUACAGUAGAGAGUUACUUACUAAGUAUUUGCCUAGAAAUUUGAAUAAAAUAAUAUAGCUAUUACCUACCUAUAACAUAUAUGUACAAAUCGUGUUUUCGUUCGUUACUUAUAGGAAACCGCAUAGAGGCGAAAUUUUGCAACGUCGCGCGUGUACGAAUGCCUGCGACAGAACACCGCCCCGGCCGGCCCGAGGACGGGAUUAGUAAACAUCUGACUUUCGUGGGAGCUGCGUCGUUUGGCGACAAAAUGUCCCAAAAUAUUACGCGAAAAUCCAGGCAUUUUUUAAAUAUUUAUUCUAAUGUUUUACAGACAUGACAAUGUGUAAAACCCCCAUAGAAUUGUAAUCUUAAAAUGUUUAAUAUGCUGUGUUUACCAUAAUAAAAAAUUAAAGCGUUAUUCUAAUAAAAAAUAAAAUAUCAACUCUAAUAAAAAUAUAAUAAAAAAUCAGAAAUAAAACUCUAAUAAACAAACUUAACAACACAUCAUUUUUUAAAUAAAAUCUCAAAUAAACCGCCUCCUUUCGCUAAACAAAAACUUAACCUAUCGUAAAAGCUACUUCGCACCUCCAAAAGAGUUUCAGGUAAAAUGGAAUUGACACCUUCGACAAUUUUAUUUCGCAACUCCUCUAAAUUUGUUGGCCUACUAAAUUCAUGCUUGUAAAUGGUCUGCUUAAGGUAACCCCACAGAUAAAAGUCAUUUGGAGACAAAUCUGAAGAUCUAGGAGGCCAUUUAAUAUCGCCAGUCCCACUAAUAAGGCGGUUAGGAAAAGUAUUUGUUAAAAAUUCUUUUACCCUAGCCGGGUUAUGAGCAGGACAGUCUAUUCUCAAAUGUCACUGAAAACAAAUAUCUACAUUGUACUGCCGAAUUGCCUCCAUAAAAGCAUUUAAUUAGUUGAACUCUUUCGGAAGGGGUAUAAAGAGCCAUAGUGAAAAAAAACACGAAAAUAACGCUCAAAAAUUAUUAAUGCAAUGUGCAGUGGAAUUUUUCGUUUUUAAAUAUAUACAAUAUAUAUAGGAUAUACAAGGUGCUACAAAUUCCGGUGCAAAUAUUUUAAGCAAAAUGUUUUUUUCCUAUAAACAUGUGUCCUAAAAUACAACCCCUCAGAGCUAUAGCCGGCGCAAAUUGCCUCAAGAAAUACGAUUUUUUAGAAUCGCAACUACAAUUAUGCAUCAUUUCUUCUCAAAAUUUGAAUGUCUCCAUUGUUUGGGUGCCCUUUUUAUUGAUGGUUCGUAUGGUGGAUCUGAUGGUCCGUAUCUUAUGUUCCCUAUAAGAAACUUAAAAAUCUAACAGCACCAUCCAGUUGGCCAUGUAAAAAUACAACAUUUACAACAUUUUUGUCUCUUGCAUUUUUCCGACAUAAUUAAGCGUUUUCGAGAAAAUCGUUGAUUAACAAAAGGGGAGCAUUAUUAAAACCGGAUUUAUCUUUUAAAUUAGAAAAAACGAAGUAAGCUGUGACUGUUUUAUUUUUUGUCAAAUCAAAUUAAUUUUAUCCAAAAUUGAAAAAAACGAUAAUUUUGUAUUUUUUUAUUAUUCAUUAAAUGGUGUUCUACAUUUUUAAAUUUCUUAUGAGAAAUAUAAGAUAUGAGCCGUCAAAAGGCUAAAACUGUAGUUAGUUCCAAAUAAUCGAUUUUCUUAAAGAAAUUUGCGUGGCUGUAGCUCUGAGGGGGUGCUCUGAGGAUACAUUUUAUUGGAAAAAAAGUCUUAUUUUAACUCCAACAAUACGCUCUUAAAAUAUUUGCAUCGAAUUUUGCAACACCCUGUAUAUAUUGAACUAAUUAUGCAGAUUAGCUAUCUACUUACCUAUUUUUUCAGUUAUAUCUGUUAUAAAAAUAAUUGUAAACUAAUAUUUGAUCUCAAGUACUGAGAAAUUCGCAGAAAAUAAACAAAUAAUAAAAAAAAACAAGAACAUAACCUCAUUUUUUUUCGCAGCUAAGAUUUAUUCAGCCGGUAAACAUGCUAUUUGUGAUGUAACAAAUGACGUCAUAUCUAAUUUACUAGGUGAAUAUCGCCAGCGGUUUAUGGUCUACUAGCCAAGCGCAUAAUAAUAUACCACUUUAUAUUAUUGUUUAUGUAAAUAUAUGUGAGCUCGUCUGCGCCAGUUAUAUUUUUGUUAUCAAAGUUCUUUUGUACAAUUUCAACUUAUAUUUAAAAAAAUAUUCGUUUAUGUUUAUGUAUGAAUCAUUUUUAUAUUAUAUGUAGUUUAUUGUAAGCCUAAAAAAAUUAAUGUACACAUUUUAUAUUCUCCCUGGAACUCUGCGGGUGGUUAUCUGUAAAUAAAACUAUUAAUAAAAUAAAA